rnacentral:lncRNA from 1 species
GCGAAAAAAAAAACCCCCAAACUCGUUGAUUUGCAAUACUCUGAAUAAACCCUAUGCAACCCUUUUAUAAUUGAAUGGGUAAUGGGUGGAGAGAGAUUAUGGAAUGAAAGGUGAGUAGGAAUCGUGGUGGGGUUAUGAGUUUUUGAAUAGAAACCAUUUAGAGAAGGAGAAGGAGAAGGGGAAGAGGUUUCGGCUUUGUAGGAGAUGGACUGAGUGGGCGCUUAAGUGAAGUAACUGAUUUAAGGAAGUGGGUCGUGUUUUAAAGUACUGAAACUAUCUGGAUCCGGACUCAGGUGUGGCCGCUCCGAGUCUAAGCGUGGUGUUGGCACAGGCGCGCUGUGCUUGGCGUGGGCGCGCUAAGAUUAAGC